rnacentral:lncRNA from 1 species
UUUGUUUUUGUAUUACCUUUAUACUAUUGAUUUUUCCCAGAAAAUGAAUUUAUAUGAAGAUAUGCUUUAAAAAUGCCAUGCAUAGAAUUAUUUGGAAAAUGUGAAUUUCAUAUGAGUUAUAUGAUUGAUAUAUGAUGCAUACAUGUUGCAUGGUGCUGUGGAGGCACAGGUACGUCAGGUGAGUUCAUUAUUCAUUUAAUUGAUUGAUGUUUCGAUGUUUGAGCUCAUAAUCUGCACCCUAGGUGUUAGUGCUUAUAUUAUUCACCACACCGCACGCUCGCCUUGGAUCCAAGUAGGUGGAUGUCGUACAGACCAUGUGAGGGUUCCGACAUGCCAGUCGUACAGACCAUUAGAGGGGUUCCGACUGGUGGGUGACCUUAGAUAUGCGCGCUGAUGAUAUGAUGAGAGAAGCACUAGAGCGUAUUUUACACCUUUCAUCGUAUAGACUACCUUACGUAGUUCCGAGUGAUGUGCAGAGUAGGGCCGUAUAGGUCACUGUGGUGACUCCGGCUUAGUGAGAUAUUGAGCUAUCGAAUUAAUCGUAUAGGACCAACUGCAGGGUCUCCGAUUGAUUCCUUAUUUCACCUGAUUUAUAUUUUGAUUUAUGGCAUGGCAUGAUUUUCUUGAAAAAUGUUAAAGAUUUGGGAUUCAAGCUUUGAGAUUUCAUAUGGUUAUAUAUAUAUAUAUAUAUAUAUAUAUAUAUAUAUAUAUAUUUCUGAAAAGUGUUAAAGGUUUGAGAUUUGAGAUUUUUGCUUAUAUAUAUGUUUAUAUAUAUAUGCUAUUUUCUGGGAAAGUAUACAGGUUUUACGGUGAGGGGGUUAGAAAUGUUUUAAAUGAAAAGUUUUCGAAAAACUUUGUUUUACUGACCCACUCAAUUUUGUUUUGCGCCCCUCCAGGUUCAAGUUAGCAGAGCUUUGGUGGCCACGAGGAAUCCAACGGUGUUCUGACAGAAUUCACAAAAGUAGGACUCACCCUCGGGUGUGUUAUCUUAGUAAUUGGAAAUUUUUUUUAAAGCUUCCGAACUGUGUAAAUGGUUACGUCACUCUCACGUGACGGCCAGCACGCCCUCCUUCGGGACGGGGUGUGUCAGUUGGUAUCAGAGCCUAGGUUGCAAUUCUGGACAUCUUGAUAAUUUCCUAGUGUCUUCUGUCAGAACUAUACCGCCUCGUAGCGAGCCACGUAGUUCGGAUGAGCCUAAUUUCCCGGAUAUAGUAGUUUAGGGGGAAACUAUUGCCAUUGUGAUUCAGUCUAUUAUCUAAAGGGACCUUUUGAGACUGGUUAUAAGUUAAAUUUGAAUCCCUUUAGGGAUAUGAAGGACCUAAGGGAGCAGAUUGAUGGCUUAAUCAAUUGGGAAAAGGCGUUUCAGAUUAUGCAAGGUUAAGGGAAUUUUCCUCCCGAUAGGUAGGUCGAGAUGAUUACCUAGUUUUUGAGUGAUGAAUCUGCAUUUUGAUGGAGAUAGGAAUGUUAUCCGACGAUAUCGGAAGGACAACUGUUUGGAAGUUGUUUAAAGAAUUGUUUAAGAAAAGUUCAUUCCCCCGGCAUAUUGUGAUGGUAGUAAACAAGAAAUUGCAAUUGUGAGACAAGGAAAAUGACGACGGAUGAAUAUUAUAGAAAGUUUACAGACUUGCCUUGUUUCCAUUCUGAUGUUGUUAAUUCGGUCGAGGUGUUAUGUCGUUUUUGGCUGGAUAAUAAGAAGAAGUUGCGUUCUUUGGCGACCACUAUCCAUUGUACUUUUUACCAAGAGUUUACGAGAUGUUGUUGGGCUUUGAAGACUUUGAGAAUAUGAUCAGCGAGAGUAAAGAGGAAUAAGAAAGGAAUGAGAAUCAGAAUAAGACGAUAAAGUUAAAGAUUCGUCAUAUCAAAGACCUCGGAGGACUCAGAGCUUGAAAGGAAGUGAAAUUAGAGCUAAUUUUCCCAGCUUAGGUUUUACUGCCACUGGUCAGAGGCGAAUUGAUAGAUUUACUAGUGAUCCCAGAUUUCUGAGACAAGAUGACUCUGGUAGAGGAAAUGUAUAUUUGUGUCAAGCUAGAUUGCUAUGGGGAAUCAGUUAAUUUUUGUCGACCUGGAUGACCAGAGGUUACUUUUGGGGGUAAGUAAAGUGGAGUGAGUUAUGCCAUUAUUCCUGUUGAGAGAGCAAAGAAGAUUGUUAUCAAAAGGCUGCCAAGAUAUUGAGUUCAUAUGGUGCUAAAUGAUGUUGAUCCUAAUAGUAUGGAAGAUGUAAAGAUGGUUAGACAUUUUCUUGGUGUAUUUCCCAGAUGCCUUACCUAGAUUGCCGCCAGGCAGAGAUGUGGGUUUUAUUAUUGAAUUGUUUUUAGGUACAAAUCCUAUGUUAGAGAUUGGUUCAGGUUGAGUUAAAAGUUCCAUUCAACUUAUUAUAUCACAUUGGAAAAAGCUCCGGUUUAUUUGUGAGGAAUAAAAUGGACAUUAAGGCUAGGCAUUGAUAUUAGGUAAUUGAAUCGGGUAACGAUUGAGAGCUGUUAUCCAUUGUUGUGUAUUGAUGAUUAUUUGAUCAGCUCUGAGGCGCCUGGGUACUUUCUGAGAUUGACUUGAGGUCUGAAUGAUAUUAGUUGAAGAUUAACAGUGAGGAUGUUCAUAAGACUAAAUCCAGGACUCGUUAUGGUCAUUUCAAGUUGGGAGGCCAUACGGAGUGACGAAUGCACCUGCUACUUUUAUGAGUUUGCUGAAGGAAGUAUUCCAGUGAUAUCUGGACCGGGUUGUUAUUGUUUGCCAUUGACGAGAUUGAUAAGAUUAGAGCAGUGCAUGCUAGAUAUUUAAAGUUGGUGUUGCAAAGAUUGAGGGAACGUUGAUGUAUGCUAAGUUUAGCAAAUGCUAAUGUUGGAUAAAUUAAUUAUAUCUACUUAAGGUAUUCAAAUGGAUUCUUAAAAGAGUAGCAACGAUUGAGAAUUUGGAACAAUUGCGAACUGUGACUGAGGUUCAGAGUUUUCUCGGAUUAGCAGGAUAUUGUCGAUAGUUCGUCCAAGAUUUUAAUUAUUGCUUCGCCCUUGGCGAGAUUGAUGAGAAAAGAGGUUAAGUUUGAGUGGGAUAAAAAAAAUUGUGAGUAGAGCUUCAGCAAGUAAAGUAUUCCCUCACUCAUGCAUCUGUUUUCGCACUCCCAGACGAUAGUGGUAAUUAUGUGGUCUAUAGUAAUACUUCUUUGAAUGUACUUGGAUGCGUGUUGAUGCAACAUGGUAGGAUGAUUGCCUAUGCUUCAUGGCCAUUGGGAUCUCAUAAGAUGAAUUACCCUAAUUAUAAUUUGGAAUUAGCAGCUAUCAUCUUUGCUUUGAAGAUUUGGAGACAUUGUCUUUAUGGGAAGAAAAGUGCAUGAUUGUUACAAAAUCAAAAGAGUACCCAAUAUCUGUUUUAUUCAGAGGUAUCUUAAUCUUAGGCAACAAAGGUGGAAUGAGUUGCUUAGUGACUAUGAUUGUGUGACGAGGGUGGUCAAGCUAAUGUUGUGGCUGAUGCAUUUAGUAGGAAGACCCCAGUGAGAAUUAAUGCUUGGUACGCUUGCUAUGUUCAUCUUCUUGUGGAUUUGAAAUCUACUGGAGUAAAGUUGAGUAUCAAAAAUCGAGAAGAAGCCUUACUUGCUAAUUUCUAAGUUGGACCCAUUUGGUAGAUCGUACUCGAUACUCGAGCGUUUGACGAAGAAAUUCAAGAAUUUAUUUAAAGCAAGGAAUAACGGGAAAAAGAAGGACCUUAGAGUUAGAGAAUCAGAUGGCAAGCCUAUGCAAAAGAACAAAGUGUUUAUGCCUAAUGGUGUGGAAUUAAAGAAAGCAAUUUUGACGAUGUACAUUAUUCCACUUCUACAAUGCAUCCCAAAAGUACUAAGAUUUAUCAUACCAUUCGUUCAUGUACUAUUGACGGGUAUGAAAAGAGGAAUGGCGAAGUAUGUUAGUAGGCGUAUCAUCAGUCAUCAGGUUAAAGCAGAAAGAAAUAAGUCUUUUGGAUUAAUGUAGUCAUUUCCCAUUCCACGGCGGAAAUGAGAGAAUAUUACUAUGGAUUUCGUGGACAAGCUUCCUCGUAUACAAAAUAGUUAGGUUGGAAUUUGAAUAAUAAUUGAUCGACUGGUGACGUCAGCGUAUGUUACUUCAGUAUGAGAACGUCAGACCAUAUGUGAUCAUCGAACGAGUCAGUGAAGUUACGUACAGGCUGAGUUGCCUCCAGAGCCGAUGAAAGGGCAUGAUAUGUUUUAUGUUUCGAUACUUCGACAUUAAACCUCAUAUCCUUCACGAGUGAUACCUUCUCAACCUUUGGAAGUCAAUAUGGAUUUGACGUAUGAUGAGGAGCCAGUGCCUAUCUUGUAUUAGAAAGAUGAUUGUACUGAGAAAUAAGACUAUGAGUUUGGUGAAAGUUUAUGCAGGAAUCUUUCAGUGGAAGAAGCUACUUAGAAGUCAAAGAAUCGAAUGAGAGAGAUGUGUUUCGGGCUGUUUCAUGGAUAUUAAUGGAUUGUAAAGAUUGUGUAAAUUUCGAGGACGAAAUUUUUGUAAGGUGGGUAGAUUGUGACAGCCCGUCCCUAAUUUUAAGAAUUUUUAAAGUUUUAAUAAAGGAUUUUACAAAAAUGCCCUUUGAGGCACGCACAUCAUUCGAGGUUAAUCGUUGCGUCGUGCCAUCUAAGAUUUGUUUUCUUGACAUAUCCUCGUAGUACUCGUCGUUACGGACGCGUGGGCGCAGACGGUUCGUGAUUUGGAGUUAUAUUGAAGAAGUUAUUAACGUUUGAAAUUUGGAAUUUUAAGGAAUUAUAAUUUUAGUAAAAAUAUAGAAAUUCUUUUAUGAAAUGGAUGGCUGGGAUGAGGGAAAGGUUUUUGGUGUGUGUAUGUGUAUGAGAAGAAGAAACAGAAAACAGAAAAGAAGAAGAGACUGGGCAGAAAUGCCCAAUCGGAGAAGAAGAAGAUGAGAGUGAACCAGAAGAAGGGAGAGGAAGAAGCUGACCAAUCAGGGGAAGGAAAGGAGGGAAAGGAGGGAGAGUGGUGCACGGGGGAACAGGAGGAAUGGGUCACCCUUGACCCGCGCGACCCAAGCUUCCAAAUCGGCAGGUUUUCGCUGUUUUCGUCCAAUUUUUCCGACGAAUUGAGUCAAGGUACCACUCCUAAUCAUCUAGGCCUUCCCUCUUCACGUUUCACCCCAAGAAUCAUUGAAUUUUCGUUGUGAUUUCGCGAAGAACACCCCUACGGGUGCCGCGACCCUUUUGUUUAAAUUCUCCAAAUUUUGAAAUGUUUUCUUUCAAUUACUAACACCUUUAGCAUUCCUUUAGGACCUAGAACAAAGCCCAAGAGGUAAUUGAGGCGUUGGAACAAGUUUGAAGGUCGAAUUGGAAACACCCAAAUUCUAGGGUUCUUCACGGUUUUGGUGAAAUUGAAGCACUUCCAGGCCAAAUUGGCCUUGGUCUCAGGUAUGAAAGUUGUUCUACUCAUUGAGAUCUUCAAAUCUGCAAAUUUUGGUAAUUUUUGGAAAUAGUUGAAUUUUCCGGCGAGCCGGGGGUGGCCAACCGCCACCCGCGGCGGCGCGUGGCCAAUGGCCCGCCAAUGUCAUUAUUAGCUUGUGAUUAAGGUUCUAGGUUCUGUUUUGAUAAUUGAUGGACGUAAAUUGAAUAAUUGAACCUAAGUUGGUUACGAUUCGUGGUUAGGUGAAAAUGUGAAUUGACGAUCCGACCGUUGGAUCGUCAUCAAACUUUGAUACGUUGUAAUACGUAAUAUUUGAGGAUUAUAGGAACUUACGGAUUGGGAAUCCGAUUUACGGAUCUUCCGGAAUUGAAGUUGUAAGUUCAUAAAAUAGAAUGUUAACCGUCACUUAGUUUUGGAAAUUGACGAAGAUCCGACCGUUGGAUGGUAAUGAAAUUUUAGGAUGUUGUCCUAGAGGUAUAUUGUGGACCUCUGGAAGUUACGGAUUUGAAAUCUGAAUUGCAGAUCAUCCGGAUCGAACUACGUAGUGACGUGUCUUAUAUAAGUUAUGUAUUCUAUCGGCAGAAUUUCUGAGGUUGGAUUUGAUUGUUGUUCUAGGCGCUAAUCGUCAUGACGCCUUGAUGUACGGUGCUAGGGAGUUGUGGGCGAACUCCAGGUGAGUGGGUAGUUUUGUUUUUGUAUUACCUUUAUACUAUUGAUUUUUCCCAGAAAAUGAAUUUAUAUGAAGAUAUGCUUUAAAAAUGCCAUGCAUAGAAUUAUUUGGAAAAUGUGAAUUUCAUAUGAGUUAUAUGAUUGAUAUAUGAUGCAUACAUGUUGCAUGGUGCUGUGGAGGCACAGGUACGUCAGGUGAGUUCAUUAUUCAUUUAAUUGAUUGAUGUUUCGAUGUUUGAGCUCAUAAUCUGCACCCUAGGUGUUAGUGCUUAUAUUAUUCACCACACCGCACGCUCGCCUUGGAUCCAAGUAGGUGGAUGUCGUACAGACCAUGUGAGGGUUCCGACAUGCCAGUCGUACAGACCAUUAGAGGGGUUCCGACUAGUGGGUGACCUUAGAUAUGCGCGCUGAUGAUAUGAUGAGAGAAGCACUAGAGCGUAUUUUACACCUUUCAUCGUAUAGACUACCUUACGUAGUUCCGAGUGAUGUGCAGAGUAGGGCCGUAUAGGUCACUGUGGUGACUCCGGCUUAGUGAGAUAUUGAGCUAUCGAAUUAAUCGUAUAGGACCAACUGCAGGGUCUCCGAUUGAUUCCUUAUUUCACCUGAUUUAUAUUUUGAUUUAUGGCAUGGCAUGAUUUUCUUGAAAAAUGUUAAAGAUUUGGGAUUCAAGCUUUGAGAUUUCAUAUGGUUAUAUAUAUAUAUAUAUAUAUAUAUAUAUAUAUAUAUAUUUCUGAAAAGUGUUAAAGGUUUGAGAUUUGAGAUUUUUGCUUAUAUAUAUGUUUAUAUAUAUGCUAUUUUCUGGGAAAGUAUACAGGUUUUACGGUGAGGGGUUAGAAAUGUUUUAAAUGAAAAGUUUUCGAAAAACUUUGUUUUACUGACCCACUCAAUUUUGUUUUGCGCCCCUCCAGGUUCAAGUUAGCAGAGCUUUGGUGGCCACGAGGAAUCCAACGGUGUUCUGACAGAAUUCACAAAAGUAGGACUCACCCUCGGGUGUGUUAUCUUAGUAAUUGGAAAUUUUUUUUAAAGCUUCCGAACUGUGUAAAUGGUUACGUCACUCUCACGUGACGGCCAGCACGCCCUCCUUCGGGACGGGGUGUGUCACAUGCCGUCAUGCAAGGGUCAACUUUACACCAAAUUUUAACUCUUUUAUAAUAACAACUCUAAUAAAAGUGCUUUCGCAUAGAAGCAAUUGCAUUCAUU